GAGAAUUAUAUAACUAAAAUGCGUAUUAUUGACUUCGGUAGUGCAGUAGAUGAGUUCACACUGAAGCACUUGUAUGGGUCUGUUGGUCCUUCAAGAGAUGAACAAACUUAUGAAUAUACUCCACCUGAAGCUCUUUUGAAUGCAAGUUGGUACCAAGGGCUGACUCCCACCACCAUGAAGUAUGAUAUGUGGAGUGUUGGU
rnacentral:misc_RNA from 1 species